UUCUCCUCCCAUACAAAAACUCCUCGAUUCCUCAUUCUCCGAUGCUAUACAUGUAAAAAGUACGGCCUACUCUGAUCUGCAUGCCUUCUUUAUUCACUUCGUUGCCUGGAAUAAAGUUCACCUAUAGGAUAAAGUAUGGAUCGAUUAGAAUUUGGUUUAAAAAAAGAAAAACAAGUAACGUCUCCUAUUGAUCAGGGAUUACAUGAUCCUACCGCCACCAACUAUACAUGGCCAGUGGUUGGGGUGACCACCAAAGAUUUUUGGUCCGGAUGGUCAAACAAAUCAGUGCAAGUUUAGUUCAUUGUCGGUUCUAUGUACACAUACAAAUCUCAGCAAUUGAUUCAAUUUUUCU